GCCUGGUUGGCUCAGUCGGUUAAGCGUCCGACUUCGGCUCAGGUCAUGAUCCUAGGAUUGGUGGGUUUGAGCCCCGCAUUGGGCU
rnacentral:tRNA from 1 species